rnacentral:rRNA from 1 species
GAUAAGGUUAAGUGAAUAAGGGCGCACGGUGGAUGCCUUGGCACUAGGAGCCGAUGAAGGACGGGACUAACACCGAUAUGCUUUGGGGAGCUGUACGUAAGCUAUGAUCCAGAGAUUUCCGAAUGGGGGAACCCAGCAUCUUUAAUAGGAUGUUACGAUUGUGUGAAUACAUAGCACAUUCGAGGUAGACGCAGAGAACUGAAACAUCUAAGUACCUGCAGGAAGAGAAAGAAAAUUCGAUUCCCUGAGUAGCGGCGAGCGAAACGGGAAAAGCCCAAACCA